rnacentral:lncRNA from 10 species
CAAAUAUUUAAGUAUUAUCUCUGAGCAGGUGGUCACGUAUGCAUACUAUCCUUGUUGGUUCUAAUUCUUUAUUAGUACUUUAUUCUUUGAUGCAUAAUAGCUUUCUUAUAUAUUCUUAUAUAUUAUAUAUUCUGCAAUUGGCUUUCUUAUAUAGAAACAGAUAUAUAUAUAUCUGUUUCUGGAAUCUUUAUCCUUUUGUGUAUUGAGCUGUUUUACUUAUCGUAUCAAUAGCUCACUAUUUUAAUCACUAUAGAUUUAUAAUACAACUUCACAUUAGGUUGAAUGAGUUUAUUGUUCUAGCCCAAUUUUUUUUUUUUUAAAUCUUGGUUAUUCUUAAAAAUGUACAGUUUCAUAUAAUUUUAUAAUCACCAGGUAAAGGUAUGAAAAAUCAUUUUGACCUUAGGCAUGUUGUACACUGAAUUUAUAGAUUAAUUUUUGGAGAAUUGACAUUUUUUUAAAUGGUGGAUGUUCCCAUCCUUGGACUUGGUAUUUAUUCAUUUAUUUAGUUCUUCUUUUUGUCUGUAAAAAAUGUUAUUUUUUUCACAAGUAUUGUGCAUAUUUAUUUAUUCCUAGGUAAUUUAUAGUUUUUUUGUGAUAUCAUGGCAUACUAGUUUCCCAGGGCUGACAUAAAAAAU